UGCUGGCAAUCAGCUGUCCAGCUCCCAAGAGCUUGCUGUCUUAAACGGCCAGACCGGUGGCAUUGUUGUAUUACCAGCAUCUUCACUCCACAGGGGGGGAGGGGAGCCUCCUGUUCAUUCCCUAAAUUUGACUGAGGGGCUUCAGUUGUGUCCUGGACACUCUUCAACUGAGGGAGAGCUGGAGCUGCGUCCUCAGAGAUUCUACUUGUUCCUUCUCCUGGGUCUGAUGCUGCUGCCCUCCAGACUUCCUCCUCUUCCUCCUCUGAGGACUCAUCCAAAGGGGGCAUGGCAAGCUAUAAGAUCCAUAUUCCUGAAGAUCUACUUGUAAGCCGGAGACUUUAUAACGUUGACUGGACCAGUAACAUGCAAGAUGAAGGCAAAGUGGCAUCUCCAGCUAUCAACAAAGAUGGAACGACAAGUGAGAAAUUGACAAGCUGCAAAUGUACAACCAUGAAAUUCAGUAGCCUCACAGCUGUGCUUUUGUAACUUGCGAAUUCAGAAAAAUGUAUGCACUGGCACCAUGCUAUCUGGCAGAUGCUAUCAUUUACAGAUUACACCUGUGAUGCCUGCCAAAUUGACGUCCAGAUUUUGCCUUUCUCUUUCUGUGUGAGAGAUCACUGUAUUAACACCACUUCUCACAGGGCGAGCUGUUUAUUUGCCACAGUUUUGGCACUGCCCAGCAAUACACUCAAGUCGUUGCCCCUGCAUGCAACUACAUUUUAUACACUUGAAUUUAACUGUGCUAUUUUUGUGCUACUUUUUCCUAGCCUAUGUAAGAAAAUGUGCUUUGCCUUGGAGUUGUCCUCAUUUCUCCUGAUAA